UGAGGAAUAUUGGACAAUGGGCGCAAGCCUCAUCCAGCCAUGCCGCGUGCAGGAAGAAGCAUCUAUGGUGUGUAAACUGCUUUUGUACGGGAAGAAACACUCCUACGUGUAGGAGCUUGACGGUACCGUAAGAAUAAGGAUCGGCUAACUCCGUGCCAGCAGACGCGGAAAUACGGAGGAACCAAGCGUUAUCCGGAAUCAUUGGGUUUAAAGGGACCGUAGGCGGUUUAGUAAGUCAGUGGUGAAAGCCCAUCGCUCAACGAUGGAACGGCCAUUGAUACUGCUAGACUUCAAUUAUUAGGACGUAACUUGAAUAUGUAGUGUAGCGGUGAAAUGCUUAGAUAUUACAUGGAAUACCAGUUGCGAAGUCAGGUUACUACUAAUGGAUUGGCGCUGAUGGACGAUAGCGUGGGGAGCGAACA
rnacentral:rRNA from 1 species